rnacentral:rRNA from 1 species
GAGCGGCCGAUAUCAGAUUAGCUAGUUGGUGGGGUAAAGGCCUACCAAGGCGACGAUCUGUAGCGGGUCUGAGAGGAUGAUCCGCCACACUGGAACUGAGACACGGUCCAGACUCCUACGGGAGGCAGCAGUGGGGAAUAUUGGACAAUGGGGGCAACCCUGAUCCAGCCAUGCCGCGUGUGUGAAGAAGGCCUUCGGGUUGUAAAGCACUUUAAGCGAGGAGGAAGGGCUCUGGGUUAAUACCUUGGAGCAUUGACGUUACUCGCAGAAUAAGCACCGGCUAACUCUGUGCCAGCAGCCGCGGUAAUACAGAGGGUGCAAGCGUUAAUCGGAAUUACUGGGCGUAAAGCGCGCGUAGGCGGUUGUGCAAGUUGGAGGUGAAAUCCCCGGGCUUAACCUGGGCACUGCCUUCAAAACUGCACGGCUAGAGUAUGGGAGAGGAAGGUAGAAUUCCAGGUGUAGCGGUGAAAUGCGUAGAGAUCUGGAGGAAUACCGAUGGCGAAGGCAGCCUUCUGGCCUAAUACUGACGCUGAGGUGCGAAAGCAUGGGGAGCAAACAGGAUUAGAU